rnacentral:rRNA from 1 species
UACGGGGGGGGUAAGCGUUGUUCGGAAUUACUGGGCGUAAAGGGCUCGUAGGCGGCCAACUAAGUCAUACGUGAAAUCCCUCAGCUUAACUGGGGAACUGCGUGUGAUACUGGAUGGCUUGGAUUUGGGAGAGGGAUGCGGAAUUCCCGGUGUAGUGGUGAAAUGCGUAGAUAUCGGGAGGAACACCAGUGGCGAAGGCGACUACCUGGCCUGUUCUUGACGCUGAGGCGCGAAAGCUAGGGGAGCAAACGGG